CUUUCAAUUAGCAAUGAUCAAGGGAACCAGAAAGCAGUGCCUAGCAUACCUUCCUCUGCUAAAUCCUGAUAAAGACAGAUAAAAUGGGGUUUUCUCCUGCCAGAGCAUCAGGACUCAGGUGCACAGAUAGGUUUUGAUUAGAGAAAGUAGAAGGACUUUGCAAUUUAUGUUACAAGAGAAAUGGAGCAGAGUCUGACUGGAGACUAACUAUGGAGAGCUGGGUCAGGGAUACCAGGGCAGUGCUUCUGAACCACUAUAGAAAGAUUCUGUGCUCUAAGUGCUUCUGAACCACUAUAGAAGGAUUUUGUGCUCUAAGUGCUUCUGAACCACUAUAGAAAGAUUCUGUGCUCCCUCU
rnacentral:lncRNA from 1 species